rnacentral:rRNA from 1 species
GUCGAGGAUCAUUCGCAAUGCGCGAAAGCGUGACGAUGCGACGCUGCGUGGAGGAUGAAGGCCUUCGGGUUGUAAACUCCUGUCAUGAGGGAAAAACCGUGCCGUUGAUAACACCGGCGGCACCUGAUGGUACCUCAAGAGGAAGCCACGGCUAACUCUGUGCCAGCAGCCGCGGUAAUACAGAGGUGGCGAGCGUUGUUCGGAUUUACUGGGCGUAAAGCGUGCGUAGGCGGUCUCGUAUGUCGGAUGUGAAAUCCCACGGCUCAACUGUGGAAUGUCUUCCGAAACUACGGGGCUGGAGUGCAGGAGGGGAGAGUGGAAUUCCUGGUGUAGCGGUGAAAUGCGUUGAUAUCAGGAGGAACACCGGUGGCGAAGGCGACUCUCUGGAAUGUAACUGACGCUGAGGCACGAAAGCGUGGGUAGCAAACAGGAUUAGAAACCCCGGUAGUCC